rnacentral:tRNA from 1 species
UAGCUCAGUUGGUAGAGCGCCGCACUACAAAUGCGGAGGUCGUGGGUUCGAGUCCCAUU